rnacentral:rRNA from 1 species
GACGAACGCUGGCGGCGUGCUUAACACAUGCAAGUCGAACGGAAAGGCCCAGCUUGCUGGGUGCUCGAGUGGCGAACGGGUGAGUAACACGUGGGUGAUCUGCCUCUAACUUCGGGAUAAGCUUGGGAAACUGGGUCUAAUACCGGAUAGGACAAUCGUUUAGUGUCGGUUGUGGAAAGUUUUUUCGGUUAGGGAUGAGCCCGCGGCCUAUCAGCUUGUUGGUGGGGUAAUGGCCUACCAAGGCGUCGACGGGUAGCCGGCCUGAGAGGGUGGACGGCCACAUUGGGACUGAGAUACGGCCCAGACUCCUACGGGGGGCAGCAGUGGGGAAUAUUGCACAAUGGGCGCAAGCCUGAUGCAGCGACGCCGCGUGGGGGAUGACGGCCUUCGGGUUGUAAACCUCUUUCGACAGGGACGAAGCUUUGGUGACGGUACCUGUAUAAGAAGCACCGGCUAACUACGUG